rnacentral:lncRNA from 1 species
GACGAGCGUCGCUUUCUCAGCUUGGCAGCCUCUUUCCUAACUCCCAGCGCCUGGAGCCUCUGGAAGGAAACAAAACCCCAAACAACAACAAAAUCUCCGCAGAAGCCUAGGAGGCAGGGCCGCAACCCCGGGAAGCUGUGGUCGGCCCAGCCCCUGCCGGAUGGGCGGAGGCGAGUGGGGAAUCACUUCCAGCUCAAGACUGGGCGAGGGGGAAGAGCCUCGGCCACUGGGCAGGCAGCUGGACGCGCCGGCCGGUGUGCGCCGUGUGAAGGUAUGAGGAAGCGGCCGCCGCGGAAGAGGGAGCCAGGCGACCACUCACGUUCACAGAUGGAGCAGCCGCGCGGAUGAUGUUUGACAUGGAAAUUGCUUGGCUGGGGUAUUCUGUUUCCUCUGCGUUGUAUCCGUGUCACCUCAUCUCCAUCUUUUGGAUAAAUCUAGAACCACGAAGGAUUUAAUAAUUCCAAGAAGGCUGAUCCAGCAAGUGAUUUUCUUUGGAGCGGAUAACCAUUUGUUCAUAGCCAUAGCGAUUUGAUUGGUGGAGCCGGUGGCCUCCCUUAGCCAAGGUAGGCUGUCUUUUCUUCCCUCGCCGGCAGUAAAGGAAACCUUCUCGUCACUUACUUCACCCCUGAAAGCAGUUUGGGUUCACAGUCUUUAAGGAACACUCCGGAAUACCAGGAGUUUGGGGAGGAUAUUGAUCUUUCCGUUCCGCCCAUCCAUCCUCUUUUUACCGAUUUUUUUUUAAUUGCAAAGAAAAAAAAAAGCUACACACAAACGAGAUAAAGUAGAUGAACCAUAGUGAGACAGUUGCUUCUUUUUCUUCAAGUCUUUUAUCGCUUCCCAAAAGGACAGAGGGAACUGUGGGCCUCGUAGGUUUCCCAGAUUUUCCAUAGUUGUUAGGAACUUAGGUUUUCCUUCGCGUCCGCUUCCCCGCGACCUGUUGAUGACUCCGAGUGGCGGAGCACGAAGCUGUGCGUUGAAGUUGGUUAUGUAAACUGCUUGUGUAUUUCACAUUAUCAUCGCGCUGUCUGGAGGCAAUGUAGAUUUUCUAAAGAUCUAAUGAAUAAACAACCAGCAACUGCUGGCG